AUGAUUUUCGUUUGUCCAUCUAGGAAGUACUCGAUUUAAAGUUUAGAACUAAUUUAAACAAUCAUUGUUUUGAUAAGGUUAAGUAUUUGAAAUCACUUUUAGAUGACUUUGGAAUAGUUUUAGAAGGUUAUAAUCCAGUGAAGUUUAACGAUGCAUCGUUAUUCCUUAACAUAAAUAGAACUCUAACUUAAAUAAAUUUCAUAACAAAAUCAAUAUUUUUAACGAUAAUGUUGGAACAUAAAUUAUAUAGCGCAUACGAUUAUUUAGAGGAAUUUGUAAACUAAAUAUUAAUAUCUUGUUCGAACUCGAAAAUAGCUUACUUUUUUUUCUUCAUAAGUGUUGGCUUUGAUAUAUAACAACAAAGUGUUACAAUAGU
rnacentral:sRNA from 1 species